GAUCGUCGAAUCUGUUGACCUGGCGCCACCGGAAAAAGAAAUUCCCGGGCCCUGGCUUCUUGGCCUGAUGGUGAGGCACCAGAGGUGCUAAAGUGGAGGGCCUCCCAUGGGGUGUUCAGCCUGGGUGUGUAGAAGCACACAGUGUGGUACAGAGGACCCUCUCCAGACAGGUGACCCCUCAUGCUGCUGCUCCCUCUGCUGAAACCCAAACUGCAAACCUCUCCUCUCCCUGCCUUCACCUUGCCCCACGGCUUCCACAGACAGUGCCUCAACCCCGAGGAAUGAAUCCGAAGUUCCAACACCACUGACUUUCCCAGGAACUCAGAGCCAGAGAGGGCCAAGGACCAGCUCGAGGACACACAGCCAGGGCUUCUUCCCUCCGAAACCCCCAAGGACUGGACUUGCAGGGCUGGGACAGAGGUGGGGUGGGGGAAAGCAAUGCCUUGUCAACCCACGUGGGGAGCCCCACUCCCAUCCCCAAGGUGCAUAAAGUUGAGGAACACCC
rnacentral:lncRNA from 1 species